rnacentral:rRNA from 1 species
UGGGGAAUAUUGGGCAAUGGGCGAAAGCCUGACCCAGCAACGCCGCGUGAGGGAAGAAGGUCUUCGGAUUGUAAACCUCUGUCCUUGGGGACGAAAAAAAUGACGGUACCCAAGGAGGAAGCCCCGGCUAACUACGUGCCAGCAGCCGCGGUAAUACGUAGGGGGCGAGCGUUGUCCGGAAUUACUGGGCGUAAAGGGUGCGUAGGCGGUUGCCUAAGUCAGAUGUGAAAUCCCCGGGCUUAACUCGGGUGGUGCAUUUGAAACUGGGGAACUAGAGUGCAGGAGAGGGAAGCGGAAUUCCUAGUGUAGCGGUGAAAUGCGUAGAUAUUAGGAGGAACACCAGUGGCGAAGGCGGCUUUCUGGACUGUAACUGACGCUGAGGCACGAAAGCGUGGGGAGCAAACA